CUGUAAGCUUUUUGCUAAAUACAGUUAGCUUUACACUGUACCUUUCGCGGUCAUCUGCACAAAGAUGAUCUAAAUUAGUAAUACCUAAAUCUUUAGUUUUCAUUAUGUGAACAGAUUUGGUCAAAAUGACGAUAUACUUGUACACAACAAUGUUUUGGUUAUCACGAAAGCAGAGCUUUUUGCCCUCCAGCGUACUGCGCAUGCGCGGGAUUACCGUACGUAAAUAAUAACAUUCAACGUGCCUAUUAGGCCUUAGUUUU